rfam:Bacillus litoralis strain C44 Scaffold13, whole genome shotgun sequence.
UGGUGAUGUCUCCUAACCGUUAUCAAUGGAGGCACUCGAUCACACUGUGGGUGCCUUGGAUACCUUAGACACUUGUUGUCAAAAGUGGGAUGUGAGGAAGGGGUGGAUGCCCU